UGGGGAAUAUUGCACAAUGGGCGAAAGCCUGAUGCAGCGACGCCGCGUGAGGGAUGACGGCCUUCGGGUUGUAAACCUCUUUCAGCAGGGACGAAGCGCAAGUGACGGUACCUGCAGAAGAAGCACCGGCUAACUACGUGCCAGCAGCCGCGGUAAUACGUAGGGUGCAAGCGUUGUCCGGAAUUACUGGGCGUAAAGAGUUCGUAGGCGGUUUGUCGCGUCGUUUGUGAAAACCAGCAGCUCAACUGCUGGCUUGCAGGCGAUGCGGGCAGACUUGAGUACUGCAGGGGAGACUGGAAUUCCUGGUGUAGCGGUGAAAUGCGCAGAUAUCAGGAUGAACACCGGUGGCGAAGGCGGGUCUCUGGGCAGUAACUGACGCUGAGGAACGAAAGCGUGGGUAGCGAACAGG
rnacentral:rRNA from 1 species